UAGGGAAUAUUGCAAAAUGGGCGAAAGCCCGAUGCAGCAACGCCGCGUGGGCGAUGAAGGCCUUCGGGUCGUAAAGCCCUUUUUGAGGGGAUGAGGAAGGACAGUACCCUCAGAAUAAGCCUCGGCUAACUACGUGGCAGCAGCCGCGGUAAAACGUAGGAGGCGAGCGUUAUCCGGAUUUACUGGGCGUAAAGCGCGUGCAGGCGGAUUGGAGAGUUGGAUGUGAAAGCUCCCGGCUUAACUGGGAGAGGUCGUUCAAUACUUCCAGUCUUGAGUGCAGUAGAGGGAAGUGGAAUUCCGGGUGUAGUGGUGAAAUGCGUAGAUAUCCGGAGGAACACCAGUGGCGAAAGCGGCUUCCUGGACUGUAACUGACGCUCAGACGCGAAAGCUAGGGUAGCAAACG
rnacentral:rRNA from 1 species